AGUCGUAACAAGGUAUCCGUAGGUGAACCUGCGGAUGGAUCAUUACUGAAGGCUUACCCCCGACGUACUGUGAACUGUUUUGAAUUUCAGUCAGUGGUUCUUGGCCUACAGUUACUCUGAGCAGACAGGAUGGCCUAACGGCUGACCAUGUGCAUGGAGUAACGGUAACGCGCUCUGAGUAGACAGGAUGGCCUCACGGCUGACCAUGUGCCCAGAGUGCUUAAGUAGGCCUACCGCUGGCUGUACCUUACUAUACGUAAUGCCAUUUCCCAGACUGAAGUCUUAUUUAGUACAAACUAAAGAUAACUUUUAGCAACGGAUCUCUUGGCUCUC
rnacentral:misc_RNA from 1 species